rnacentral:misc_RNA from 1 species
CCGGUGGGCUCUUGGUGUGCCCUUCCUGGCCGGCCUUCAUUCACUACCUUCACUUAGCACCACCUUUCAUCGCCCUUCCCUCAAUUCCCGCACAGUCCCUUUUUCUAGGGUUUCCUUUUAUCCAGUAAAGCCUCGUCAUUUCUCUGUAUCUUUCUGCGGAAAUGAAGCUCACAGUUAAGACUCUUAAAGGAAGCCAUUUCGAAAUUAGGGUUCAGCCCACCGACACAGUUAUGGCUGUCAAGAAAAAUAUUGAAGAUGUGCAAGGAAAGGACAAUUACCCAUGUGGGCAGCAACUAUUGAUUCACAAUGGGAAAGUAUUGAAAGA